rnacentral:rRNA from 1 species
UCUGACGACCAUAGCGGCGUGGAACCACUCCUUCCCAUCUCGAACAGGACCGUGAAACGCGCCAGCGCCGAUGAUAGUCGGGUCCGUCCCGGCGAAAGUAGGUCAUCGUCAGAC